rnacentral:rRNA from 1 species
UGAGUACGAGAUGCUACGGCAUCGAAGCAGUCUAUGUCAUACUUCCAAGAAAAGCUUGCACUGUCAGAAACAGAUAAUGCCUGUACCAUAACCGACACAGGUGGGUAGGUAGAGUAUACUAAGGGGCGCGAGAUAACUCUCUCUAAGGAACUCGGCAAAAUGACUCCGUAACUUAGGGAGAAGGAGUGCCUUAUUUUUAAGGUUGCAAUAACAAGAUCCAAGCAACUGUUUACCAAAAACACAGGUCUCCGCUAAGUCGUAAGACGAUGUAUGGGGGCUGACGCCUGCCCAGUGCCAGAAGGUUAAAGAAGUCGGUUAGCAUUCGCGAAGCUGGUAACUGAAGCCCUGGUGAACGGCGGCCGUAACAAUAACGGUCCUAAGGUAGCGAAAUUCCUUGUCGGGUAAGUUCCGACCCGCACGAAAGGCGUAAUGAUUUGGAUACUGUCUCGGAGAGGGGCUCGGUGAAAUAGACUUGUCUGUGAAGAUGCGGACUACCUGCACCUGGACAGAAAGACCCUAUGAAGCUUUACUGUAACUUGAAAUUGAAAUUGGACUUUAUUUGCGCAGUAUAGGUGGGAGGCGUUGAAAAUAUUCUUGCGGGAAUGUUGGAGCCAUCAGUGAGAUACCACUCUUGUAAUGUUAGAUUUCUAACUUUAUAUCAUUAUCUGGUUAAAGAACAGUUUCAGGCGGGCAGUUUGACUGGGGCGGUCGCCUCCCAAAUGGUAACGGAGGCGCACAAAGGUUUCCUCUGAACGGGUAGAAAUCGUAUCUAGAGUGUAAAGGCAUAAGGAAGCUUGACUGUGAGACCUACAAGUCGAGCAGGGACGAAAGUCGGUCUUAGUGAUCUGACGGUGCUGAGUGGAAAGGCCGUCACUCAACGGAUAAAAGUUACUCUAAGGAUAACAGGCUGAUCUCCCCCAAGAGUUCACAUCGACGGGGAGGUUUGGCACCUCGAUGUCGGCUCAUCGCAUCCUGGGGCGGUAGUACGUCCCAAGGGUUGGGCUGUCCGCCCAUGAAAGCGGUACGCGAGCUGGGUUCAGAACGUCGUGAGACAGUUCGGUCCAUAUCCGGUGUAGGCGUUAGAAUAUUGAGAGGAGCCUUCUUUAGUACGAGAGGACCGAGAAGGACAUACCUCUGGUGUACCAGUUAUCGUGCCAACGGUAAACGCUGGGUAGCUAUGUAUGGAGUGGAUAACCGCUGAAAGCAUCUAAGUGGGAAGCCCACCUCAAGAUAAGUAUUCUCAC